rnacentral:lncRNA from 1 species
AUGGUCAGCAUUCUUCCUAUAAACACAGAGAUUGUGCAUUGUCAAAGGAUCCCUGGGUGCGCAGGGUUGCCAUGGCUACCCUCCCCCACCCGCGUGUGGCCGCGGCCUGCCGCCACGUGGAGCCGCCGUCCCCGGCGUUUCCCCAGCCACCAGGCCACACGCGGAGGCCAGGACGUGGACGACGCUGCCACGGAGGGUGCCUACCCCUCGGCUUUUCCCCGGACAGCGCGCCCCUCGUGGGCUCCUGAACGCACAGGGAGGAGGCGUCUGGGGGCCGGGCGGCCGCAGGGCGAGGGCUGCUCCGGGCGUGGACGUGGAAUGACCUUCGCGCCGGUCGGCAGCAGGCUCUCAGAGAGACGAGUGGAGGCCUGGCGCCCGGCCACGUCCCAAAUCCUGGUCAGGAAUUCCAUAUGCGCCCCAGGAGGAGCCUGGCUUUUCCACGGCUGUGCUACGUGCAGCGCGGCCUCCCAGCCCCCUCUGCCAAGGAGUCGCCGAACAGUCAGGCCCACGGCGCCUGCACAGCUAAUUAGAAGCAGAACACGCCACGUGGACGGCCCCCUCGUCGGCGACGGCCGCCGGCUGCACGGGUCGAGAGGCACCCGGCCGUGUUCCCAGGGCAGGUGGCGUCCAGGGCCAGUGUGGCUGGCUUGGGGCGGCAGCUGGGGUGUGCCCCGAGGGCCCGGGCUGCCCCAGAGAGAGCCGGCAUCAGCCCCUCCCUGGCACAGCCGCCUCCCGUGUCCCGCGUCUCCAGCACACACGUGGACGGGGUUCACACGCCAGUCACAGCACCGUCUCCUCACGGGCACACAGGUGCGGGGCCAGCUUGCUUCCUCCCCACCCUCAACACUGAUUUUCCUGGGGCCGGAGCUGUGGCGUAGUGACCUUGGCAUUCCUUACGGAUGCUGGUGCGAGUCCUGGCUGCUCCACUCCAGGGCCAGCUCCCCGCUACUGCGCCUGGGAAAGCAGCAGAGGACGGUCCAAGUGCCUGGGCCCCUGCACCCGCAUGGGAGACCCGGAUGGAGCUCCUGGACCCUGCUUUGGUCCAGCCUUGACGUCGGAGCCCAUCUGGGGAAUGAACCAGCAGAUGGAAGAUCUCUCCCUGUCUUUCCCUCUCUGCCUUUCAAACAAACAAAUAAAUCUUUUUAAAAAUAAAGUAUAAAAUAAAACCA